GACGAACGCUGGCGGCGUGCUUAACACGUGCAAGUCGAGCGGAAAGGCCCCUUCGGGGGUACUCGAGCGGCGAACGGGUGAGUAACACGUGGGUAAUCUGCCCAGGACACAGGAAUAACCAGUGGGAACGCUGGCUAAUGCCUGAUGACGUGCCGGCCCUGCGGGGCCAGUACCAAAGGUAGCUUCGGCCUCCGGUCUUGGGUGAGCCCGCGGCCCAUUAGCUUGUUGGUGAGGUAACGGCUCACCAAGGCUCCGAUGGGUAGCUGGUCUGAGAGGACGAUCAGCCACACUGGGACUGAGACACGGCCCAGACUCCUACGGGAGGCAGCAGUGGGGAAUCUUGCGCAAUGGGCGGAAGCCUGACGCAGCAACGCCGCGUGCGGGAAGAAGGUCUUAGGGUUGUAAACCGCUUUCAGCAGGGACGAAGGCGUCCGGGUUAAUAGCCCGGAGGUUGACGGUACCUGCAGAAGAAGGUCCGGCUAACUACGUGCCAGCCGCCGCGGUAAAAC
rnacentral:rRNA from 1 species